rnacentral:rRNA from 1 species
AAUAUUGGACAAUGGGCGACAGCCUGAUGCAGCAACGCCGCGUGAGCGAUGAAGGCCUNUGGGUCNGNAAGCUCUGUCCUUGGGGNAGAAAAAAAUGACGGUACCCUUGGAGGACGCACCGGCUAACUACGUGCCAGCAGCCGCGGUAAUACGUAGGGGGCCAGCGUUAUCCGGAAUUAUUGGGAGUAAAGAGUGCGUAGGUGGUCUUGUAAGCGCAAGGUGAAAGGCAAUAGCGUAACUAUUGAGAGGCAUGCGAACUGUGAGACUUGAGUGUAGGAGAGGAAAGCGGAAGUCCUAGUGUAGCGGUGAAAUGCGUAGAGAUUAGGAGGAACACCAGAGGCGAAGGCGGCUUGCUGGACUGUAACUGACACUGAGGGACGAAAGCGUGGGGAGCAAACAGG